rnacentral:rRNA from 1 species
UGAGGAAUAUUGGUCAAUGGGUGCAAGCCUGAACCAGCCAUCCCGCGUGAAGGACGACUGCCCUAUGGGUUGUAAACUUCUUUUGUAUAGGGAUAAACCUACCCUCGUGAGGGUAGCUGAAGGUACUAUACGAAUAAGCACCGGCUAACUCCGUGCCAGCAGCCGCGGUAAUACGGAGGGUGCAAGCGUUAUCCGGAUUUAUUGGGUUUAAAGGGUCCGUAGGCGGACUUAUAAGUCAGUGGUGAAAGCCUGUCGCUUAACGAUAGAACUGCCAUUGAUACUGUAAGUCUUGAGUAUAUUUGAGGUAGCUGGAAUAAGUAGUGUAGCGGUGAAAUGCAUAGAUAUUACUUAGAACACCAAUUGCGAAGGCAGGUUACCAAGAUAUAACUGACGCUGAGGGACGAAAAGCGUGGGGAGCGAACAGGAUUAGAUACCCUGGUAGUCCACGCCGUAAACGAUGCUAACUCGUUUUUGGGGCUUCGGCUUCAGAGAUCCAAGCGAAAGUGAUAAGUUAGCCACCUGGGGAGUACGCUCGCAAGAGUG